AAAAAGUGUAUUUGGGCUGUAGUUCAUGUUAUGGACUUAUUUACAUUAACCUGACUUAAUUCUUUUACUUUAGUUAUGACAACUUGCUUUCAUGAGUUCAAUUAACUUAACAGUCACGCAUUUUAUCUCAAACGAACUUUUUAAUUUGAGUCGAAGUGAAACAAUUAAGUUUAAUGCAGCUUUACGUCUGACGUCAUUACGUAAGCUCCGCCCGGGACAGAUCCUGCAUCUCUGGUACCGACCGCCAUUUCUUCUGAGCAUUGACUGUCGACGAGAUUCAGAUAAAACAGUAAGUAUGCUGCCCCACCAUAACCAAACAUUAAAUAAACGGUGUAAAAAUAUUUAAAACUUUUUCUACCUUAAAUUUGAAACAUUGAACUGUGUUUAACGUCGAAGUGUCAUCAGUUAUUUGCUCUUCACACAUUUGCUAAUUGUAAUUAGCCGCGCUGUUCGGCGGUUCAAAUCUCAACAUGUUUUAACAUAACUACUCUGAGUUAGACUGAAUGUUUAUUUUUUAUGUGUACUUUUACGCUAAAAAACCUAACUUGAAAUUACAGAGGUGGGGGUGUUCUGUGCAAAACUAAUUUAAUGUGAUGCAACUCCACUGUGCUAAUCACUGUUAGCUGCAGCCGGUGAAGCCAUUUUUUCCAGUUUUCUCAUGCUGCUUACUGGCGACAUAAUAUAAAACGCAUAAUAUCCUGACAGCGCUAAGAAUCCAUCAGGUGUCAUUUCUCUUAAAAAAGCAAAUUGUGUCUGUAGGAACAUUGCGCAGUGUUCUAGCUAGCCGUUGAUCCCCAGGCACUGGGCCGGGCUUAGACGCCCUCGGGCUGGGCUGAGGAUUUCACAACUUCACUUUCGGAGCUCUGCAUUUAGUAGCCUGCCCCACAAACUCCGCCCCGGCUAGAUCGCUUCUUGCCCUGUAUUAUUUCUCUGCAAUUUGCAAUCUACCACAGCGCACGGACAGUUCACAAUGUGCAAGUUUGAUCUCCCUAUGGUCGUCCGCGCCCUUGAUUUCACCGGCUACAGAAAUCGAAAUGACAACCGGCAUGAACGCCAGGAAAAGAAAGAAGAAAAAUUAAGAUCAAAUGAAAAUUUCAGGCAUUAGCAUUUCUGGCUAGAACACUGUUGUAUUAACUUCUUUUACCCACUUCUCUUUCCAGGCCUAGAACCAAGAAUCAUCAAACCACAUAAGGUUGAAGACAUUGGGAUUCGAAGGGAAUGUGUUCUGAAAGGGCUCAUCACCUUUCUUGGAGAGGAUGCAAAAGACCUUAUUAAGGAAUACUGUGGCAGCAGCGGAGAUGAUGCCCAGAUGGAACUCAAACAACUCACCAUGGCCGUGUUUGUGAUUCGGAAGGAGGGAGAGGGAUUGAAAGAACCCCCAGAAGACAUUGGCAUCGUCAUUGAGGGAGUGGAGGUGUUGCAUGACCUGACUUCAGUUGCCUCAGCAUGUGCCCUGCUUCUGGGUUUGAUAUAUUCCCUUAACUUGGCUUAUCUAAAGGCUCUGCGCUUCACAUUUGAAGUGUUCCAAAAAAUCUUCAUGCAGCUUGAGCAGCACAAGAUGUCUCCCAAAGUUCAAAAUUUGUUUGGAAGACUUCAGACCUCACAGUAAAGACACUGGCAUGUUGUGCAACAGGACAGAAGAUCUUCAGUCUUCUUUGUUUGGACAGAAGAGCGCCAUGUUUUGGAAGCUUAACACCCCAAGGAACUGCACUUUGUGAACUUCUUUUGGGACAUUGUUCAUAUUAAAGCCACAAGUAAUACAGAGUUUACUGGAUAACAAUUGACUGGUAUUUCUGGAGGAUGUUUACUGAUGAGGUUGUGAUGAACAUUAUCAUUUUGGGAGUAGGUCUUUUUUGUUUUUGACAUUUCAUAAAGUUACAUGGUUCAUCUCUUUGGUUUUGUGUGGGGGAAAAAAUACAAGUUAAGGGGGAAAAAUUAAAGUAGGAAAGUAGUAGGCUGCUGCAGUUUGUGGACAUUUUCACAGAAUUUUCUUUUUGCAUUUUUUUAAAAAUUUGAAUCAACAGAUUUGUUCAGUGUUUUUUGAAGGAGGUUGAAUGGAUCUAGAUCAUAAUGUUUACUAUUCUGUUAUUUUCUGGUGUCAGUUAAAUUAACGGACUUGGUUUAAACUAGGCAGCUAUUACACCACAUCUUUGUUUGAAAACUUGCCUAAAUAUUUUUUGGGUAUUGCUCUUAUUUUCAGUGUAAAAAUAGUCACUAGUGUCAUCAUAUUUUAUGUCAAAAACAUGUUCUCAGCAAAUGUUA